ACUUCACAGUUAUUUUUUUUUAAUCUGCUCUAAUCAGUUUAACUCUGCUAUGACCAGAUUUUUGAAUGGAUAAUUCUCUGGGCAAUUUGAACAUUUUGAAGGAGUAAGAACUUUUUCAGGUGCAUUAAACUUCUAUAAUACAAACGAGAUACUAACAUUUCACCUCUUCCCGAUUCUCCAUUCAUGACUGAAACGGAAACUCGAGUCUACUAAGUGAGUUGGACUUACCAUGGGGAAGCCCAGCCUGCUUGCUGUCUCACAC
rnacentral:lncRNA from 1 species